rnacentral:lncRNA from 1 species
AUUUUUCAAGCGGCAUCAAGUUGGUGCCUCCCAAGGUAACAACAGAGAGCAUCCAAGAGACAAUAAUAGUAACUUGUUAUUGCCAACUAGUCAACCACCAAUUGAAAAAGGUAAUCACUUUUUUCUUUAUCUGGUCCAGUUCUAUCUUCGUGUGUUCUUGACAUAUCGUAAACUAUUUGUUACUAGAUCCAAAGGAGGUUAUGGCACAGGCAAAGAAAGAUAAUCCGGUCCUACAAGAAUCACCUGAAAGAGACCUUCCUAAGCAGAAU